rnacentral:rRNA from 1 species
GUUAGUCGAGGUACCUUUUCUUCUUCGGAGAUGAGGUAACCCGGCGGACGGCUCAGUAACACGUGGAUAACUUGCCCUUGGGUCUGGGAUAACCCCUGGGAAACUGGGGCUAAUACCGGAUAGAGCAUCAAUCGCUGGAAUGCCUGAUGCUCGAAAACUACGGUGCCCAAGGAUAGGUCUGCGGCUGAUUAGGUUGUUGUUGAUGUAAUGGAUCAACAAGCCUACGAUCGGUACGGGUUGUGAGAGCAAUAGCCCGGAGAUGGGUUCUGAGAAAAGAACCCAGGUCCUACGGGACGCAUCAGGCGCGAAAACUUUACACUGUGCGAAAGCACGAUAAGGGAACUCUGAGUGCCCCCUAAGGGGGCUGUUCUAGUGUCUAAAAAGCAAUAGAAGUAAGGGCUGGGCAAGACCGGUGCCAGCCGCCGCGGUAACACCGGCAGCCCAAGUGGUAGCCACGUUUAUUGGGUCUAAGCGUUCGUAGCCGGCUUGGUAAGUUCCUUGGUAAAUUUAGCCGCUUAACGGUUAAGCUUUCAGGGAAUACUGCCUGGCGUGGGACUGGGAGAGGUCAGAGGUACUCCAGGGGUAGGGGUGAAAUCCAUUAAUCCUUGGGGGACCACCGGUAGCGAAGGCGUCUGACCAGACCAGCUCCGACGGUGAGGGACGAAGGCUAGGGGCGCGAACCGGAUUAGAUACCCGGGUAGUCCUAGCUGUAAACGAUGCGGGCUAGGUGUUGGCAUUACUGCGAGUGGUGCCAGUGCCGAAGGGAAGCCGUUAAGCUCGCCAUCUGGGGGAGUACGGUCGCAAGGCUUAAACUUAAAGGAAUUGGCGGGGGAGCACCACAACGGGUGGAGCCUGCGGUUCAAUUGGAUUCAACGCCGGG